UACGUAGGUGGCAAGCGUUAUCCGGAAUUAUUGGGCGUAAAGCGCGCGCAGGUGGUUUCUUAAGUCUGAUGUGAAAGCCCACGGCUCAACCGUGGAGGGUCAUUGGAAACUGGGAGACUUGAGUGCAGAAGAGGAAAGUGGAAUUCCAUGUGUAGCGGUGAAAUGCGUAGAGAUAUGGAGGAACACCAGUGGCGAAGGCGACUUCUGGUCUGUAACUGACACUGAGGCGCGAAAGCGUGGGGAGCAAACAGG
rnacentral:rRNA from 1 species